ensembl:lncRNA
CCAGGCUAACAUGCUGCUGCUAUGGAGAAGAAAAUUACUUUGGAGGUGGAAGAAGAGAGACUUCGCAUUCAAAGUGAAAGACUCAAAAGUCAAAAAGAACAACUCAUGAUGAAUGGAAAAAAAGCCAACGAUGCAAGGCAAAAUUGGAGAACAAAAAAUGGCUGACUUACCAAAGGAAAGGAUCAUGCCAGAUUUGCCUCCUUUUUCCAACACUGGUGUGGACUACUUUGGACUACUUUGGACCUAUUGAUGUGAAGAGAGGUGGCAGUGUUGUUAAAAGAUAUGGAGUUAUGUUUACCUGCAUGACCAGUCGAGCAGUACACCCUGAAGUAGCCUACUCUCUGGAUACAAAUUCCUGCAUAAAUUGUAUUUCGUUGUUUUAUGUGCUGUCGUGGCCAAGUACUGCAUCUAAGAUCUGAUAACGGCACUAAUUUUAUUGGAGCAGAGAGAGAGCUUAGAAAUGCUUUGAAGAGUUUGGAUCAUGAUAAAAUUCAGCAUACUUUCCUGUCAAAAGGAAUAAAAUGGACCUUUAAUAUCCCUGCAGGAUCACAUCAUGGAGGUGUUUGGGAGAGGCUCAUUUGACUUGUAAAGAAAGUGCUGUACUUUACACUUCGACAACAAUGCUUGGAUGAUGAGAGCUUUCACACUAUUCUUUGUGAAGCUGAAGCUAUUCUUAAUGACCGUCCUAUCACAAAGCUUUCUGAUGAUCCAAAUGACUUGGAAGCUCUCACGCCAAAUCAUAUCUUGCAGUUGAGAUCAAACCCAUUUCUUCCUCUAGGACUUUUCCAAAAAAGUGACUUGUAUAUCAGACGUAGAUGGCGACAAGUCCAAUAUCUGUCUGAUCUGUUUUGGAAAAGGUGGAUAAGGGAAUAUCUUCCACUGCUUCAGGAACGACAAAAAUGGAGGAAGCCACAUAGAAACUUUACUGUUGGUGAUAUAGUGGUCAUCAUGGAUCCAAUUGCUCCACGUGGUUCCUGGUCAUUAGGCAAAAUCACUCAGACAUAUCCUGACAAAAAGGGAUUUGUACAACUGAAAAAAAAAAACAGGAUUACUGGACAGACCUGUUUCCAAAAUUUGCCUUUCAAAGAAGAAGUUCACAUACACCUUUUUUGGCUCCUUUGAUCAUUUAAAGGGGUCAUAUGAUGCGAUUUAAAAUUGUCCUUUCUCUUUGGAGUGUUACAAGCUCUUGGUGCAUAAAGAAGAUAUGUAAAAUCGCAAAGACUAAAGUCUCAAAUCCAAAGAGAUAUUCUUUAUAAAACUUGAGCUUGUCCACGCCCCCUAAAAUGGCUUGUUCUAACACGCCCCCACAUAUCUACAUCAGUAUGUGGGAA